CUUGAUCGUCGCCAGAGUGACGCUACAUUCAUAAACAUUUUUACGCUGAUGGCAAUGUUCAUCUGCAAUCACAGUUAACUGUAUGUCAUACUAUUCUCCUCAGCGAGCACUGAAGACUCGUGGACAUCUGACAAAGAUCAUAGAGGGUUACAUCAAAGGACAUGUGUGGACACCCCGCUCCAUAAGGCCGUCAUUGAUGGGAACCUCGAUACCGUGAAACAGGUCAUGAGUGGGCAUACAAUAGACGUCAACACCUGAGGUUUGUUUGGACUGACACCAUUGAUGUUGGCUGCAGUGAGAGGGCAGAAUGACGUCUUUGAACAUCUUCACAAGGAAGGAGCUGAUAUGACACUAACGGAUGGGGAUGGUGACCACAUUCUUAGCAUUGCCUGUGUCGGG